rnacentral:rRNA from 1 species
UAGUUGGUGGGGUAAUGGCCUACCAAAGCUUCGAUCAGUAGCUGGUCUGAGAGGACGGCCAGCCACACUGGGACUGAGACACGGCCCAAACUCCUACGGGAGGCAGCAGUGGGGAAUUUUGGACAAUGGGCGCAAGCCUGAUCCAGCCAUGCCGCGUGAGUGAAGAAGGCCUUCGGGUUGUAAAGCUCUUUCAGCCGGGAAGAAAAGGUUGCGAUUAAUAAUCGCAAUUUAUGACGGUACCGGAAGAAGAAGCACSGGCUAACUACGUGCCAGCAGCCGCGGUAAUACGUAGGGUGCGAGCGUUAAUCGGAAUUACUGGGCGUAAAGGGUGCGCAGGCGGUUUUGUAAGUCAGAUGUGAAAUCCCCGGGCUUAACCUGGGAACUGCGUUUGAAACUACAAGACUAGAGUGUAGCAGAGGGGGGUGGAAUUCCAUGUGUAGCAGUGAAAUGCGUAGAGAUAUGGAAGAACACCGAUGGCGAAGGCAGCCCCCUGGGUUAACACUGACGCUCAGGCACGAAAGCGUGGGGAGCAAACAGGAUUGGAUACCCUGGUAGUCCACGCCCUAAGCGAUGUCAACUAGUUGUCGGGUCUUAAUAGACUUGGUAACGUAGCUAACGCGUGAAGUUGACCGCCUGGGGAGUACGGUCGCAAGAUUAAAACUCAAAGGAAUUGACGGGGACCCGCACAAGCGGUGGAUUAUGUGGAUUAAUUCGAUGCAACGCGAAAAACCUUACCUACCCUUGACAUGUACCGAAGCUUGCUGAGAGGUAAGUGUGCCCGAAAGGGAGCGGUAACACAGGUGCUGCAUGGCUGUCGUCAGCUCGUGUCGUGAGAUGUUGGGUUAAGUCCCGCAACGAGCGCAACCCUUGUCAUUAAUUGCCAUCAUUUAGUUGGGCACUUUAAUGAGACUGCCGG